UCAAUCAAUAUUUUGACGGUUUGAACCCGUUUGUUUUGUAUUUUGUUUACAAUGGUUGAU
rnacentral:tRNA from 1 species